rnacentral:tRNA from 1 species
GAUACUACGCCGGAUGAACGGAAAUCAUUGAUGUUGAUUAAUAUAGGAUAAAUAAUUAUUCCUUAGUAUUU